AAUAUUGGACAAUGGGGGAAACCCUGAUCCAGCCAUGCCGCGUGUGUGAAGAGGGUCUUCGGAUUGUAAACCACUUUAAGGGGGGGGAAAGGGCUUGAGGUUAUUGCCGUGAAGUUUGGACGUUCCCAACGGAAUAGGCACGGUCUACCUCUGGGCCGGCAGCCGCGGUAAUACAGAGGGUGCAAGCGUUAAUCGGAAUUACUGGGCGUAAAGCGCGCGUAGGUGGUUCAGUAAGAUGGGUGUGAAAUCCCCGGGCUUAACCUGGGAACUGCUUUCAUAACUGCUGAGCUAGAGUACGGUAGAGGGUAGUGGAAUUUCCUGUGUAGCGGUGAAAUGCGUAGAUAUAGGAAGGAACACCAGUGGCGAAGGCGACUACCUGGACUGAUACUGACACUGAGGUGCGAAAGCGUGGGGAGCAAAC
rnacentral:rRNA from 1 species